AGAGUUUGAUCCUGGCUCAGGAUGAACGCUAGCGACAGGCCUAACACAUGCAAGUCGAGGGGCAGCGGGGAGGUAGCAAUACCUUUGCCGGCGACCGGCGCACGGGUGAGUAACACGUAUGCAAUCCACCUGUAACAGGGGGAUAACCCGGAGAAAUCCGGACUAAUACCCCAUAAUAUGGGCGCUCCGCAUGGAGAGUCCAUUAAAGAGAGCAAUCUUGGUUACAGACGAGCAUGCGCUCCAUUAGCCAGUUGGCGGGGUAACGGCCCACCAAGGCGACGAUGGAUAGGGGUUCUGAGAGGAAGGUCCCCCACAUUGGAACUGAGACACGGUCCAAACUCCUACGGGAGGCAGCAGUGAGGAAUAUUGGUCAAUGGUCGGCAGACUGAACCAGCCAAGUCGCGUGAGGGAAGACGGCCCUACGGGUUGUAAACCUCUUUUGUCGGAGAGUAAAGUGCGCUACGCGUAGCGUAUUGCAAGUAUCCGAAGAAAAAGCAUCGGCUAACUCCGUGCCAGCAGCCGCGGUAAUACGGAGGAUGCGAGCGUUAUCCGGAUUUAUUGGGUUUAAAGGGUGCGUAGGCGGCACGCCAAGUCAGCGGUGAAAUUUCCGGGCUCAACCCGGAAUGUGCCGUUGAAACUGGCGAGCUAGAGUGCACAAGAGGCAGGCGGAAUGCGUGGUGUAGCGGUGAAAUGCAUAGAUAUCACGCAGAACCCCGAUUGCGAAGGCAGCCUGCUAGGGUGCGACAGACGCUGAGGCACGAAAGCGUGGGUAUCGAACAGGAUUAGAUACCCUGGUAGUCCACGCAGUAAACGAUGAAUACUAACUGUUUGCGAUACAAUGUAAGCGGUACAGCGAAAGCGUUAAGUAUUCCACCUGGGGAG
rnacentral:rRNA from 1 species